UCGGCCGCCGGCCCAGCCCGGUCCGGCCAGGCCUGCCCCGGAAUAUCUCAGCAGACUGCACUUUCAUGGAGAAAAUGACAGACACUUGGUUACACAGUGGAACGAAUGGAAACAUUCUCUGAAAUAAAGUAAAGGUGACUCAGAAAUAUCUGAAAUAA